AUGGGCGAAAGCCUGAUGCAGCGACGCCGCGUGAGGGAUGACGGCCUUCGGGUUGUAAACCUCUUUCACCAGGGACGAAGCUAACGUGACGGUACCUGGAGAAGAAGCACCGGCUAACUACGUGCCAGCAGCCGCGGUAAUACGUAGGGUGCGAGCGUUGUCCGGAAUUAUUGGGCGUAAAGAGCUUGUAGGCGGUUUGUCGCGUCUGCUGUGAAAGACCGGGGCUUAACUCCGGUUCUGCAGUGGGUACGGGCAGACUAGAGUAUGGUAGGGGAGACUGGAAUUCCUGGUGUAGCGGUGAAAUGCGCAGAUAUCAGGAGGAACACCGAUGGCGAAGGCAGGUCUCUGGGCCAUUACUGACGCUGAGAAGCGAAAGCAUGGGGAGCGAACAGGAUUAGAUACCCUGGUAGUCCAUGCCGUAAACGUUGGGCGCUAGGUGUGGGGCUCAUUCCACGAGUUCCGUGCCGCAGCUAACGCAUUAAGCGCCCCGCCUGGGGAGUACGGCCGCAAGGCUAAAACUCAAAGGAAUUGACGGGGGCCCGCACAAGCGGCGGAGCAUGCGGAUUAAUUCGAUGCAACGCGAAGAACCUUACCAAGGCUUGACAUACACCGGAAUCAUGCAGAGAUGUGUGCGUCUUCGGACUGGUGUACAGGUGGUGCAUGGUUGUCGUCAGCUCGUGUCGUGAGAUGUUGGGUUAAGUCCCGCAACGAGCGCAACCCUCGUUCCAUGUUGCCAGCACGUAAGGGUGGGGACUCAUGGGAGACUGCCGGGGUCAACUCGGAGGAAGGUGGGGAUGACGUCAAAUCAUCAUGCCCCUUAUGUCUUGGGCUUCACGCAUGCUACAAUGGCCGGUACAGAGGGUUGCGAAACUGUGAGGUGGAGCUAAUCCCAAAAAACCGGUCUCAGUUCGGAUUGGGGUCUGCAACUCGACCCCAUGAAGUCGGAGUCGCUAGUAAUCGCAGAUCAGCAACGCUGCGGUGAAUACGUUCCCGGGCCUUGUACACACCGCCCGUCAAGUCACGAAAGUUGGUAACACCCGAAGCCGGUGGCCUAACCC
rnacentral:rRNA from 1 species